UACGUAGGGUGCAAGCGUUGUCCGGAAUUAUUGGGCGUAAAGCGCGCGCAGGCGGCACUCUAAGUACGUCGUGAAAUAUCCCGGCUCAACCGGGAGGGUGCGAUGUAGACUAGGGAGCUAGAGGUCGGUAGAGGGGGGUGGAAUUCCUGGUGUAGCGGUGAAAUGCGCAGAUAUCGGGAAGAACACCUAUGGCGAAGGCAGCUCUCUGGGACGGUACUGACGCUGAGACGCGAAAGCGUGGGGAGCGAACAGG
rnacentral:rRNA from 1 species